rnacentral:rRNA from 1 species
UACAGAGGGUGCGAGCGUUAAUCGGAAUUACUGGGCGUAAAGCGCGCGUAGGCGGCUUUUCAAGUCGAUUGUGAAAUCCCCGGGCUUAACCUGGGAACUGCAGUCGAGACUGUCUAGCUAGAGUAUGGGAGAGGGAAGUGGAAUUUCAGGUGUAGCGGUGAAAUGCGUAGAUAUCUGAAGGAACAUCAGUGGCGAAGGCGACUUCCUGGACCAAUACUGACGCUCAGGUGCGAAAGCGUGGGGAGCAAACAGG